rnacentral:rRNA from 1 species
UGGGGAAUAUUGCACAAUGGGCGCAAGCCUGAUGCAGCCAUGCCGCGUGUAUGAAGAAGGCCUUCGGGUUGUAAAGUACUUUCAGUCGGGAGGAAGGUGGUAAGGUUAAUAACCUUGGCAAUUGACGUUACCGACAGAAGAAGCACCGGCUAACUCCGUGCCAGCAGCCGCGGUAAUACGGAGGGUGCAAGCGUUAAUCGGAAUUACUGGGCGUAAAGCGCACGCAGGCGGUUGAUUGAGUCAGAUGUGAAAUCCCCGGGCUUAACCCGGGAAUUGCAUCUGAUACUGGGAAGCUAGAGGCUUGUAGAGGGGGGUAGAAUUCCAUGUGUAGCGGUGAAAUGCGUAGAGAUGUGGAGGAAUACCGGUGGCGAAGGCGGCCCCCUGGACAAAGACUGACGCUCAGGUGCGAAAGCGUGGGGAGCAAACAGG